UUUUUUGUUUUUUUUUGUUUUUGUUUUUGUUUUUCCAUUUUCAGCACCUCUGAGUUCUUUUGUGAGUCCACCCUGUACUGCUUAAUGCUCAGGUUUGUAUUAUGUCAAAUCUUGGAAUACAGUAUCUUUCCCUGCAAGAAAUGAGCAGCAUAGAAAAAGCUUACACCUAAAAUUUCAGGAAAAUUGAAGCUUGCAAGAUAAAGAAAAGUUCUGCACUGUAGACAGAAAAAUAGUACAUCAAUAAUUGACUGGAUACCGAGAUUUAGGUCCAGUUUCACGCCUGCUUCUUUUUUUUAUGGGUAACAUAGCUAUAAAAGAACUGAGCUAGCUUGAAUGCUGUGCUAUAGCACAGACUGUGUUCACACCACACUGAUUAUAGUCUGUCUGCUUAGGCAGUAAGCAGCUUAGGAUACAGACUUUUUCUUCAUACAGAACCUACCAAUAUCAGGUCUUGAUCACAGGGGAUUUUGUGUGAUAUAUUUCUUAAUGAUAUGUGAAUAGCAGCUCUACUUAGUAAAGCUCAUUCCUUCCAUGACUCCAGAAAAUACUUUUUGCUGAUGUCUUCCAUAUAUAGAACUGUGAACUGUUUACAAAUGAGCUCAGAAGUUGCCCUGUGUGGGUGUGAUGUGUCUCCACUUAUUUUCUUUUCAGAUGUACCUGGUAGGUUUAGUUCUGGUGAUUUUUUGUUUGUUUGUUUCCUCUUGGUUGUUUUUUUUCCCUUCUGGCAGAAUCUUUUUUUUUUUUUUUUUUUUUACUAUGUACUAUUUUAGAAAGUUAAUAUAACCUUUCAGACUUCCGACUUGUAAUUCAGUAGUUUAUUCUUGACUAUAUAUCAGAAGUUACAUAAAUGGCAAUAGUGGUAGGAUGCUAAAAGGGUAAUUAUCUACACUAUUUCAAAUGCUUUUUUCUAAGUGUCUCAUUUAUUAGCAGCAUUUCAAAGCGUUCUUUUCAAAAGAAAAAAUACAUCUGCUCAUGAAGACUUUUUCUAGUAAAAAAUGCCUAUCAAAUUUAGGUCUGGACAGUUAUGCAGUGAAUCAAAAAAAAAAAAAACCCAUAGUCCUGAUCUGUACACUCAGCAUAUAAGUAAAGUCAUGGGAUCUAGUGAUACAUAUCAUAAUUGAGAACUGAGUCUUAAUUAAAAGUUCUCGUAUGCAAAAAAUUAUUACUUGCAUAGACAGAACUUCUGUGAGACUUAGCUGCUGCUAUUUUGUUUUCUAACAUAACUUACUCAUAUAGAAUCUUGAUUUUACUUGAAUAUAUUUUAAAUAAUUUAAAAUAAGGACUGUAUACUUUAUUUAAAAUAUAUUGUUCUUUUAGAUAUGUAAAAAAAAAAAUGAGGCGGAUGAAAUUAGUUUGUCUAUACUUAGGCACCCUCUUUGUUUUCCCCUUUGGUGAAUGAGUCUCAGGCUGUGUAAGCUGUGUGUAAGCAAUCCCAGCUGCAUUGUGUAGCACCUCUACAGAGAAAAUACUUCUCUUCUUAUCCAGUCUUACAGUGGGCAUCUCAUCCCUGGACUCGUUGACCACAAGCAUCUGGAGCUGGGAUGGCAUGGGAAAUUCGAAAAUUAAAGCCUCAUUCUCACUCUUUUUAUCUGUAGUGACCUUUUCAGCUCCUGGCCAAGUGAAGAGGAGUCACUUGGUUAAAUUCAGAUGUUAAAUGUUGUUUCUAGCUUUUAGUUCUAGUAGCUGUUGUUUAUUUUGGACAGUAGCAAAAAACCCUUGGAAGCAAUAAUCACAAUAGAACACAUCUUUUAAUUCUUCUGAGGGUUUUAUAGGUCUUUGCAUCUGGCAGAUUAAAAAAAAAAAAAAAAAAAAAAAAAAAAAAGAGGAGAGAAAUACACUGUUAAAUCUAAUGGAUAAACUUGUUACACCAAGGAAAAGUUACAGAAAAAUUCAUGUGAAGCGACAUCUGUGCCACUGUAGUGGUGCCUCUGAGGAGGAAGAGGCACUAGCAGUGAAUGAUCCAGUUGGCACUCUGAUAGAGAAACAGUGUGUCUUUGUAGGUGUAAGGCAUAGAAAUUUGCAGUUAGCUGAAGGUACAUGGAUUUUUUAGCCUUGUGGGCAGACUAAUUUCUCAGGUUUGUUUUUGAUUUGUUUUUGUAGCCAAAAUGUGAAGUUGUUUUGUGUAUUUCAGUUUAUUUUUUCUUCUUGUAAUAUGAGAACAACCUGAUAGUCAGUAAAAGGAAAGUAAGCCAGGUUGUGAAGAGAAAUGCCCAUUGCCUUAGAUUCACAUCCCAGAGGGUCCCCUGAGAGUUCUUGGUUUCUCAGAGCUUUAUGGUGCUUGGCAGCUUUUAGUCCCUUACAGUGAAACUCAUUGCAGUACAAAGCCAUCCACUGAGGCAUUGUGCUUAGGUUUCAGGAGAUAGAGCUUCAAAUUCUACGAAAUCUGUAAAAUACGAAGAUAAUUUUUAGGAGUUCAAGGGGAUGAAACAGCAUCCAGUUAGUUACUGUGUAAGCUGACUGUGAAUGGUGUCUGGAGAGUGUUCCCACUGCUCUCCCUGCACCUGCAUUGCAGUAGUACUCACACAUACAUUUCUUAAUUGCUUUCCUGUAAAAAUCCUCUUUGGGUCACUACUGAAAAUAGGAUUCCAGGUGACCCAGGCAAUCAAUAACAUUUUAUUUGGUAGGAGUUUUACUCCUAGAUAAAUAUAAAUAGUGGAAAAAAAUAGAAAAAGAAUGAUAGAAAGAAAGAAAGAAACAACAGAAGAUGCUAACACAUCUGAGUAAAUGUAGCAUUGACAAAUAGAAUCGAGUUAAGAAAGAGUCCAGCUGUAUAAGACAGAAGUGUUUCUUGUGGUGAGGGAUGAGCAAUGCAUAUUGGGGGUGCUACUGAUUUGGAGAACAGUCAUUCUAUUUUUGCACUGUUGUGAGCAACUACUGCACAAUACCUCCUCAGGAAGGCUGUUACAAUGCUACCCAUUAUUUCAGCUAUACUUAAUAUUCUGCUGGCAUUUUCUUGAUAAAUCUAUUUUUAAAGGCUACAAUGAGGUGGUAAAUGUUCAUUCAACAACAAAGAUGGCUGCAAUUAACAAUUCAAAGAUUUCUGAAAGAGAAGCAGAAGUUCAUGAAAACAGUAGUGGAUUCUGGCAUUUUUGUACAGGAAUUCAAAAAAUAUAUGAGUAGUGUAAGGAUGGGGCAUGCCUCUGGUGUCUGUACAGAUCACAGAGCAACAUCUCUGUCCACCCUCUUCUGUAAGAGAGCUGCAGAGUUGUCUUUAAGACCCAAAAGCUGUGAUUAUCCAAAAUCUUUGAUCCAUUAGAAAUUCCAUCUGGAGCGCAGUGAGUGAUCUGAGAACCAGUUAGUGCUUUUCAGUGUAACAUGUUGGCUGUUUGAUUGACCAAAUUUGACUGGAAGAGCCUGAUUUUUGUGAGGCUGUACAGACAUACUGGGUGCCAUCAUUAUGUCCCUCUCUCUCACCCCUUUAAAUUCUCCGGUUGGUCUUCUUCAAGACCUCAUUUGUCACACGCAACCCCAUGUCAACUGGUUCCAGGGGACACCUGUAUCUCUUCUUCAUUUGGGAACAGUACACAUAGUAUCAUAACUUUGCCAAAGUCUCACAGUGUAAUGAACUCAUUGCCUAGGAGUGUUCCAACAGAUUGGUCACCAAUACAACAUUAAGGGCAGAGACUGUCUGAAGAGAAGUCUGAAGAGACUUACACUAUGGUUAGGUAUAGCUGCCCUUGCUCCCAGAUGAAAUUUUUACUCUACUUCGAGUAAAAAAGUUUCAGACUUUUACUAUUUUGCCAUUCAGUUCUUUCUUAUAUGCCAGGUUGAAUGUUGGGUGGAGAAAGACAACACUCAGCUUUCCGGAGAAACAUCUUGUAUGUCCACAUAGGGUUCCAGCGUUCUCUGAUCUCUGGUAAACUUGCACUACAGUUGGACAUCCACUAGUCAAGAUCAUGCCACCAGUGUGAGAGACCAAGCUCUUUCCAAAGACAGUGUCAGAUCUUGGCGUGGUCCCCGUCCUGUAGCAGACAGUACUUAUGCCUGAAACACUCCAGCAUGUGCUCUUUGCAUUGGGACAGCCAGUCCUCCUCUUCCUCCUUCUGCCAGCAGGCCCCCGCUCAGAGGCAGACAAGACUCAACUAUUCAUCCUCAGGCCAUCACCAUUUGAGAACUGGCUAUGAGCCCUCUGACUGAAUUGCACACAUCUGCCAACUGAUGUGAAAGAGGGCAUGUUCCAGGCACGUAGCCUAGAUCAUGGAGAAGAGAGUUCUUCCUUCCUCCUUCUGGACAGCAAGCAGGAUUUGGACAUUGAGUCAUCAGAGAAAAUGGCUUGGAGUGAAUGGAUUUUCCUGUAUCCUGCUACCUGUCCAGCAGAAGUUGUGGCUGCAGAGAGCACACCAAAGUGUACAGAUCUCCUGGUUCCAACAGUCCUGUACAAAUGCCACUAGAACAUAACAAAGCUCAUCAAGAGAGAGGAUGAUCAGGAAGCAUAGCUGCAGCAGAACUGUGUCAAGCAGAGCUUUGGUACAUUUAAGAGCAUCUGAGGUAGAAGAACCAUGUGGCACAUGAGGAGUUCCACAUACUUAUGACUCUAGACACUAAAGCUUGACUGCCAUGUUCCUGGGAAUCUCUAUAAUCCCCUAUCACAUGGAGACAGCCAGUCAUCCCACAUCAUUUCCAAGCACAAGUACUUACAGGACCUGAUAUGCAGGCUAGCUUUAUGAGCUUUUGUAUUCCUAAGCCUAAGAAUUCCACUCAGAAAGCUGCAUCAAAGGGCAAUGCAGCUUUGGAAGGAGUGCCUCCAGACUUCUUGAAACCAGCAGUAGAAUGGUCAUAGCUCUUGGUGGGACUGAAGGUCACGGUAUUCUCUAUUUUGUUUCUGUUUUAUUUUUAUUGUAUUUGACCUUGACAUUUGCAGGAUGAGAUGCCUGGUCACAGUCUGAUAAUUCUAAUUAAGAUUGAAUAUUUUGUAAUGUAACGAGUAAGUGGCCAUAGAAAACUAGAAACCUUCAUAUUUUGCUUAGUACAUUUUAACAUUAGCUGGUGCUAAAUGGAUACUAUUUAUUAGGUUGUGCUUGAGAACACUGAAUAUUUUUGUUCUCCUUCUCUUCAUAAUCAGCCAGAGCAAUAGAGAGCAAGGAAGGGCAUUUGGGGCAUGUCAUUUGUUUGAACUCGAGGCCUUGCUCCCUAAAAAUGGCCUGUUUCCUAGUCUUGUGUGGCAGCAUUAUCUUGACCUGAUGUGGUCCCGCUAAAUAAGGGUACGCUUAUGAAAAUUUGUGUAUGGGGCAAUUCUACUUCUGGACUCUGAAUAUCUGCCGAAUUCAACAAGAACAGCUGUCCUCUUUUUAAAUGUGUUUUCUUCUUGCUUGUCAGUGUCCCAUUGUGGUAGGUAAUCCAGAGAGUUAAAUAUUGGUUGUCUGUCAGGUCUGUGCCUUGCCAGUAUCUGUUCUAUAUAAGGUAAUACAGUUGCCUUGCACUUGUCAAACCGGAAAACAAAUGUGGUAAUGAAUAAAGUAAUUUUUGCACUGUA